rfam:Picea glauca, whole genome shotgun sequence.
GGGUGUGAUCAUACUAGCGUUACUGCACUGGAUCCCAUCGGAACUUGGUAGCUAAGCGGGCUUGGGAUAGAGUAGUACUGGGAUGGGUGACCUCCCGGGAAGUCCUAGUGUUGCACCCU